rnacentral:rRNA from 2 species
GUUUCCGUAGGUGACCUGCGGAAGGAUCAUUGUCGA